AACAAACGCUGGCGGCGUGCCUAACACAUGCAAGUCGUACGAGAAAGGGUCCUUCGGGGCCUGAGUAAAGUGGCGCACGGGUGAGUAACGCGUGGAUAAUCUGCCCUUCAGUUGGGAACAACUCAUCGAAAGGUGGGCUAAUACCGAAUAACACUGCAAGACUUUGGUCGAGCAGUCAAAGAGAGCCUCUGCUUGCAAGCCCUCGCUGAAGGAUGAGUCCGCGUACCAUUAGCUAGUUGGCAGGGUAAUGGCCUACCAAGGCGACGAUGGUUAGCUGGUCUGAGAGGAUGAUCAGCCACACUGGAACUGAGACACGGUCCAGACUCCUACGGGAGGCAGCAGUGAGGAAUCUUGCGCAAUGGGGGAAACCCUGACGCAGCAACGCCGCGUGAGUGAGGAAGGCCUUCGGGUCGUAAAGCUCUGUCAGUUGGAAAGAAAUGCCUGAGAGUUAAUACCUUUCAGGUUUGACGGUACCAACGGAGGAAGCACCGGCUAACUCCGUGCCAGCAGCCGCGGUAAUACGGGGGGGUGCAAGCGUUGUUCGGAAUUAUUGGGCGUAAAGAGCGUGUAGGCGGCCGGAUAUGUCAGAUGUGAAAGCCCUGGGCUUAACCCAGGAAGUGCAUUUGAAACUGUCCGGCUUGAGUAUGGGAGAGG
rnacentral:rRNA from 1 species